rnacentral:rRNA from 1 species
GGUGAUGUAGGUUGGUCAUGCCUCCGGUAUGUACUGGCCUCACUGAUUCCUCCUUCCUGAUGAACCGUAAUGCCAUUAAUUUGGUGUUGCGGGGAAUUUGGACUGUUACUUUGAAAAAAUUAGAGUGUUUAAAGCAAGCUAACGCUUGAAUACAUUAGCAUGGAAUAAUGAAAUAGGACGUUCGAUCCUAUUUUGUUGGUUUCUAGGAUUGACGUAAUGAUUAAUAGGGAUAGU